rnacentral:lncRNA from 1 species
CAAUCUAGAGGAAUGCAUUCUAUGCCAUCACAGUCAAGUGAUUGGAGGGAUAGCCCAGGUUUGACUGGUGAGUUUCAUUCUAUUGACCUUGGUUGGGUGAAUGUUGUUUUUAUCUUUUUUCAAGUUCUGAUUUCUGACCAAUGCCUAUACUGUAAUUGGUAUUUCUUUGAGCAAGCACAGAUCAUGGAGCAUACCAGUCUUCUGAAGAUGGAGACGACGGGAAUCUUCAGCAUUAGUCUGCCCUUGGAGUUAUGAUAAUUUAGAGGUCCUAAUUGAUGAUGGCCUCCUCUGUAUCUUACCAUGUCAUUCCCGAGUACAAGCCUUGUACAGCAUGGGUCUAAAUCUGCUUUGAUGCUGUUUUAUAUGCCUCCCGAGUCUCCUAUCUGGUAAUUAAAUCUAUGUAACUGGUCUAUUUUCUCAAAAGUGAGUAGAUAAGAGAUUUACUCAGGAGUCAGGACAUUUUUCUUUACUUACCAUUGAUAAUAAUAAACUGCUAACAAAAUAUAUGUACUCUUUUUCUGCUAACCUAUAUUGUAUGUGAGAUUCUGGAACUUUGUCUUCAGUUAUACAUAAUAUAUAAGAUCUACUAGAGUGUGACCUGGGUUCAAUGGGGUGUCUAAAAUCACUCUGAAAUAGUGGUAUGGUACCUAUGGAAAU